rnacentral:sRNA from 1 species
UCAUAAACGGGAUGGAAGCGGCAUCCUUUGGCGGUCAGCCUGAGCGGAGUUGGGGCCCUGCAAAAGAUAUAGCGCACAGCCCGACUAACC